AAGGUAUAAUUACAAAAUUGGACACAAGAUUUUGGAUUUAUUUAUCACUAACCCUGAAGAAUACAUGUGGCAAAAGUUCAGUGGACAUCACAAAACACCGGAUCAAGAGCACUGCAGAGUACUUCCAAGGGAGUCCACAAUAAAACCCUGCGAGUUGCGACGUGAACCCUCCGUCUCUAACUGAUCGCCAACAGAGAUAUAGUUCAGGGAAGCAAUGGCGUCAAAGCUAGCUCAGUUGCAAUCAAAGGCUGCUCA
rnacentral:misc_RNA from 1 species